rfam:Ictidomys tridecemlineatus contig005670, whole genome shotgun sequence.
GUGGUUGUGGCUCAGUGGUAGAGCGCUCACCUAGCACACGUGAGGAACUGGGUUCGAUCCUCAGCACCAUA